rnacentral:lncRNA from 1 species
GCGGGCGUCGUCGUCUCGGCCCUGCAGCCGCGCCAGGAGUCCGCGCUGCACAAAGCUCUGGCGGGCGGCGCGGCCCCGGCCGCCGCUCAGCUCCACCGCGCGUUCCAGAUCCUCCAGGGCGCCUGCGGGACCGACGAGACGGGCGGGGCGGGGGUCAGCGGAGGCCAGGGCGGCCUUGCCCGAGCCCCAGCCCACCUGCGGCCGCGCGGAUCACCGUGGUUCUUGCGGCUCCCGGGCGUGGCCAUUUACAACCCGCCUCGCACCUGCUAGAGAAAAGACCCCGGCCAUGGAUGGGAGACCUAGGACAAAGAUGGAAAAGAGUGCUUGGCACCAGACAGCUGCUCAAUGAGGAACACAACUGCAUCAUGGAGAAUCCCCAGCAUCCUCAAACCGUUAACACCUAGAAGAAUCAGAAGCACCAGGGAAGUGAGGAGCGCAGUCAACAGGAAACAGCAUGGUCCUACAGAAAUGCCUAUGCUAUAGUCACUCUGCCAGAGGCUGCUCCAGGGUGAAUUAUAGUACAUAUUAGCUCGAAAUUAGCAUCAGAUAGCCAUUAAAAUGAUGCUGAUACAGAUCUAUCAAUAUGGAAAAUGUUUGUGAUAGACGGCUAAGUGAAAAAAGCAUGCCACCAAAAAAAAAAAAAAAAAA